rnacentral:rRNA from 1 species
UACAGAGGUGGCAAGCGUUGUUCGGAAUUACUGGGCGUAAAGGGCGCGUAGGCGGCCUUCUAAGUCGGACGUGAAAGCCCCAGGCUUAACCUGGGAACUGCGUCCGAUACUGGGAGGCUUGGAUUCGGGAGAGGGAUGUGGAAUUCCAGGUGUAGCGGUGAAAUGCGUAGAUAUCUGGAGGAACACCGGUGGCGAAGGCGGCAUCCUGGGCCGAGAUCGACGCUGAGGCGCGAAAGCGUGGGUAGCAAACAGG